rnacentral:rRNA from 1 species
GGGGUGCAGCAGGCGCGAAAACUUUGCAAUACACGAAAGUGUGACAGGGUCAUCCCGAGUGCCGACCGCUGAGGUUGGCUUUUACCCAGUCUAGAAAGCUGGGGGAAUAAGGAGAGGGCAAGUCUGGUGUCAGCCGCCGCGGUAAUACCAGCUCUCCGAGUGGUGUGGACGUUUAUUGGGCCUAAAGCAUCCGUAGCUGGCUGAACAAGUCCCCUGUUAAACCCACCGAUUUAAUCGUUGGCCUGCGGGGGAUACUGCUCGGCUAGGGGACGAGAGAGGCAGACGGUAUUCCCGGGGUAGGGGUGAAAUCCUAUAAUCCCGAGAAGACCACCAGUGGCGAAGGCUGUCUGCUAGAACGCGCCCGACGGUGAGGGAUGAAAGCUGGGGGAGCGAACCGGAUUAGAUACCCGGGUAGUCCCAGCUGUAAACGAUGCAGACUAGGUGUUUGGACGGCCACGUGCCGUUCUAGUGCCGCAGGGAAGCUGUUAAGUCUGCCGCCUGGGGAGUACGAUCGCAAGAUUGAAACUUAAAGGAAUUGGCGGGGGAGCAC